CCUACGGGUGGCAGCAGUGAGGAAUAUUGGUCAAUGGACGAGAGUCUGAACCAGCCAAGUAGCGUGAAGGAUGACUGCCCUAUGGGUUGUAAACUUCUUUUAUAUGGGAAUAAAAUGUUCCACGUGUGGGAUUUUGUAUGUACCAUAUGAAUAAGGAUCGGCUAACUCCGUGCCAGCAGCCGCGGUAAUACGGAGGAUCCGAGCGUUAUCCGGAUUUAUUGGGUUUAAAGGGAGCGUAGGUGGAUUGUUAAGUCAGUUGUGAAAGUUUGCGGCUCAACCGUAAAAUUGCAGUUGAAACUGGCAGUCUUGAGUACAGUAGAGGUGGGCAGAAUUCGUGGUGUAGCGGUGAAAUGCUUAGAUAUCACGAAGAACUCCGAUUGCGAAGGCAGUUCACUGGACUGAAACUGACACUGAGGCUCGAAAGUGUGGGUAUCAAACAGGAUUAGAUACCCCAGUAGUC
rnacentral:rRNA from 1 species